CUGGCUGGCUGGCUGGGUGUUGAUGGGCUGGGGUUUAGCACGCGAGGGCCCAGUCUCACGUUCUGGGGUCGCGGUCCCCGAAGUUGUGGAGCCAUGGCCUGCACCUUCCGCAGGUCCAUCGCCUCUCAGCUAUCCAGAGUUUUGGAUCUUCCACCAGAAAACUUGAUCAAGUCAAUAUCUGCAGUUCCAAUCUCCAAAAAAGAAGAAGUAGCUGAUUUCCAACUUUCUGUACAUUCUGUGCUGGAGAGCAGCAGUGGUCACUCAAAACCAGAUAUUCAAGUUCAAACCCGAAGACUAGCAGAGAAGCUAAAAUGUGAUACAGUAGUGAGUGAAAUCAGCACUGGACCUGGGACAGUAAACUUCAAAAUAAACAGGGAACUGUUAACAAAGACAGUGCUACAACAAGUAUUUGAAAAUGGUGCAAAUUAUGGAUUAAAAAGUGAACUUUUUUCUGAUCUUCCCCAGAAGAAGGUAGUGGUUGAAUUUAGUUCACCUAAUGUUGCCAAAAAAUUUCACGUGGGACAUUUGCGUUCUACAAUCAUAGGGAAUUUUAUAGCAAAUCUCAAAGAAGCAUUAGGACACCAAGUAACAAGGAUAAAUUACUUUGGAGAUUGGGGCAUGCAGUUUGGUCUUUUGGGAACUGGUUUUCAGUUGUUUGGCUAUGAAGAAAAACUUCAGUCCAAUCCUUUACAGCAUCUCUUUGAGGUUUAUGUACAAGUUAAUAAGGAAGCAACAGAUGAUGAAAAUGUGGAAAAAUCAGCACGUGAAUUCUUUCAUCGACUGGAAGAAGGUGACAAGCAAGCACUUUCAUUGUGGCAAAAAUUUCGGGACUUGAGCAUUAAAGAAUAUGUCCAGAUUUACAAGAGACUAGGAGUGCAUUUUGAUGAUUAUUCAGGAGAAUCAUUUUAUCGAGAGAAAUCCCGGGAAGUCUUACAGUUGUUGGACAAGAAAGGACUCCUACAGAGAACAAAAAAAGGAACAGCCAUAGUAGAUCUCUCGGGAAAAGGAGACCCUUCCUUAAGCUGCACUGUAAUGCGAAGUGAUGGGACUUCUCUUUAUGCAACCAGAGAUCUUGCAGCUGCUAUUGAUCGAAUGAACAAAUAUAAUUUUGAUUCAAUGAUAUAUGUGACAGAUAAGGGCCAACAAAAUCAUUUCCAGCAAGUAUUUGAAAUUCUGAGGCUAAUGGGAUAUGAAUGGGCAGAAAGGUGUCAACAUAUUCCCUUUGGAGUAGUACAAGGAAUGAAAACUCGAAGAGGAGAUGUUACUUUUCUGGAGGAUGUUAUAAAUGAAACUCGUUCAAGGAUGCUAGAAAAUAUGGCUUUUUCCAAGACUUUUGUGUGUCAAUAUUUUAUAGCAACUAAAGAACUGGAAAAUCCACAUGAGAUUGCAGAGAGAGUUGGACUUGCGGCACUCAUUAUUCAGGACUUCAAAGGUUACCUGUUAUCUGAUUAUAAGUUUAACUGGGACCGCGUUUUUCAGAGUCGAGGUGAUACAGGUGUUUUCCUGCAGUACACACAUGCCAGGUUGUGUAGUUUAGAAGAGACAUUUGAAAGUGGUCAUCUGAGAAACAUUAAGGCAGCUUGCUUACAAGAUCCACAGUCUGUUUCUAUACUCCAACAUCUCCUCAGGUAUGAUGAGGUGCUUUAUAAAUCCUCUCAGGAUCUUCAACCCAGGCAUAUUGUCAGCUACCUUUUAACACUGAGUCAUCUUACAGCUGUGGCUCACAAAACAUUACAGAUAAAAGGCAGACUCCCUGAAGUAGCUGAGGCCAGACUUCAUCUAUUUAAAGCUGUCCGUUCUGUCCUAGCCAAUGGAAUGAAACUUCUUGGAAUCACACCUGUAUCUAGGAUGUAAUUUAUAUGGAGGAGGAAGAGAAGGAGACACAAAGGAGACCACAAACCCAUAGAGGGAAAAGACUGGCAUAUGGUUCAAGCACAGAGAAGCGAGAGCAAGAAAAGGCACACACAGAGGCUGAAAACAGUCAUGUAAUGGCCUGGUUGGAAUGAAGAAAAAGGGCACGAGGACCAGAUAUGAACAUAGAAGAAAAUAGGCAACACGCAGAGGCCAGGAAUAGAUUUGCAGCACCCCAGCACUUGGGGACCAAGGAACCUACUUUCACUGAAGAAGUCUACUUUGACCAGGAAAUUGGGCGAGUAUUUUAAUAGACAAACAGGGAACUUACUUUGUUAAGGGCUAAAUCAGUAACUUUUUCUAGCUGAAAUGGGGUUAGAUAUUAGGAAAAUAUUCUUCCCUACCCCACUCCCAUCCUUAUCCCCACCCCCAAGGGGCGCUAUAGAAAACAUACUUAAGUUGAUCAAGGGACAAGGCUUAAUUGUAACUUGGGAACAGAUCGCUAGACUCUUGGGUACAUUAGAACACACGACCCCUUAGUUCUUAGAGGAAGAAGUAGAAAUAGAUAAUUGGAAGCUUGUAGGAGAUCAAUUAUGUGAAUACUACAAUGAUAAAGGUCCUCAUUCAGUUUCCAACAAAGCAUUCUAUAUAUACAACAUAAUACAAUUGGUCUUGAAGAAUCCUGCAAGUUAUGGAAAAAAGAAAAAUUUUCAUAACAGCCAGAUGAGGAAGUGUGAGGAAAAAGAGGACUAAGAAUGGAAUAAUGACAUUGCCAGAGGGCAUGGGGAGUUAAGUGAGGUUCAAGGGUAUGGUGAUUCUCCUUCUCCCAAGGAAGCUUCAAUUCUGCCUACACCUACAGAGCAGAUCCCUGACACACCCCCAUCAACUCCACCUUCCAGAAUAGAGGGAGGAGGAGUAGUGGGAGGGACAGUGAUACCACCAGCACCUCCCCCCCCCACCACCACCCAGCAAUCACCCCCCUCCUAUGAGUAGAUUGCAAAAGGCAAUACUUAAAGCCACUGAGGAAGGGAAGGAUAUAGCUGAUUUGAAAUUAGGUGUGUAUCCAGUGAUUCAACAGUUUAACUCUUCAGGUCAAGAAAGUAGAAAAUACGCUCCUUUUGAUAUAGAAAUCUUCAAAAACCUGAAAAAGGCUCGCACUCUUUAUGGGGCUACAUCAGCCUAUGUUAAGAUGUUACUACAGAAUUUGGCUUAUGAAGUCUUAACCCCUAGUGACUGGAAAUCUAUAGCAAGGACAUGCUUAGAACCUGGACAAAACUUGUUGUGGCUUUCUGAAUAUAGUGAGCUCUGUAGGAUACAAGCCCAACAAAAUAGUCAAAGUGGAGUUAAUACUCCAAUCAUCCAUGACCAAUUAAAAGGUGUAGGUUUUUAUGCAGACAUUUCAAUACAGAUUAAUUAUUCCAUAGCAGCAUAUGAGCAAAUUGCUGCUGCUACUGCUAUCAGAGCAUGGGCUUCCCUCCCAUAAAAACAACAAGGGUGAGGCCUUCACAAAAAUUGCACAAGGAUCAAGUGAACCCUUUGUUGAUUUUGUGGGAUGUUUACAGACAGCUGUCAUAUGAACUAAUGGUGAAAAUGCAGUAACAGAUAUUUUGAUAAGGCAACUUGCUAAGGAAAAUGCUAAUGAGGCUUGCAGAAGAAUUAUACUAGGACUGCACAAGGAUGCUCCUUUAGAGGAGAUCAUAAGACACUGUGCCAUAGUGGGCAUAAAUGCCUUUUAUAGCCAGGCUAUGAUGCAGACUUCCCAAGAUCCUAACAUGGAAAGACAGGGUCCCUUCUGGCAAGGGACUUCCAGAGAGACCCAUCAAUGCUUUCAGUGUGGUAAAGUAGGGCACCUGAAAACUCAAUGUUGGCAUAGAGACAGAAUGAGAAAACAGGGUGGGAGAACAAGACCCAAUACCCCAUGUCCAAAAUGCAACAGAGGCUUCCAUUGGGCCUCAGAAUGUAGGGAAUUCAGGGAAAUGGGAUGAGGGGCCCAGCUCCAGGCCCCCAGGCAAAAAACACUUGGGGCAUGAUGGCAGCCGAUGCUACAUCUAGAGAAUGCCUAUAAGUCCAGUACCCAGAUAUGACCAAUCAACUAGGAAGCCAUCUGAUGGGAAAAAGGGAUGGUGUGCCACAAGCAAUAAAAACAGACAAUGCAUACACCUCCAAACAUUUUGCACACUUUUGUGCACAGUAUAAGAUUUUACACACCACUGGCAUAUCCUUUAAUCCUCAAGGACAGGCAAUAGUAGAGAGGAGAAACAGAGACAUUAAGACGCUGCUCCAAAAACAAAAGAAAGGGGGAACCACAGGUAACCCUAGAAAGCUUCUAAAUCUAGCUCUUUAUACUAUUAACUUCUUGAUUUUUGACAAAGAUGCACUGGCUCCGGCAGACAGGUUUUAUAACCCACCGGAAGGGCAGUGUCCAGUGCGAGCAGCUCCACUAUCUUUAGAUAAUUGCCAGGUGAUGUGGAGAGAUCCAGAAAGUGGUGAAUGGAAAGGGACCAGAUAGGCUAACUGCUUGGGGGAGAGGGUUUGCUUGUAUCUCUACAGAUGGAGAAGGAAUCAGAUGGAUGCCAACAAGCCAUAUUCGCCUUGUCCAUCGGAAAGAGAUGGAGCAGACCCUUGAAACGAAGAAGAAGACCCAAGAAAUAUCAGGUGGUUCCAUUGCUGACUGUGUCCACCACUGAAUGAGCAUGGCAGUUAUGGCAUUUGACUCAUGGACUUCAAAAAUUGUUGGAUUUCAGCGAAAGAACUCUGGGAGAUGACUAAGAGCCAUUACAUAGAAUUCCCAAUCCCUAUAUUUUUGUCCCCUUGUAUUUUUUAUUUCCUUCACAGGCUAAUUGUACACUAUUUCAGAGUCCAAUUCUUUUUGUACAGCAAAAUAACUGUUUGGACAUGCAUACUUAUUUUGUAUUUAAUUUAUACUUUUAACAUAUUUAACAUGUAUUGGUCAAUCUGCCUUCUAGGGGAGGGGGUGGAGGGAAGGAGGGGAAAAAAUGGAACAAAAGGUUUGGCAAUUGUCCAUGCUAUAAAAUUACCCAUGCAUAUAACUUGUAAAUAAAAAGCUAUUUUAAAAAAAAAAGGAAAAAAAUGUUGGACUUCAAAAUCCUCAAGAAUCAUUGGAUCUCUGAGACAUGAUAAGACUGUUGUAGGACUUGAAAAUCUACAGGAAUCGUUGGAUUCCCUAACAUAUAAAAAGACAGUUACAGGACUUCAAAAACUUGUGAAGAUCAUUGGAUUCGCUGACACGUGAAGCAACAGACAAGAUAUUGGUUUUGGACUAUCUCUUGGCUGCUGAAGAAGGCGUAUGUGGGACUGUUGUUUACAAAUCCUCCUUCUAGGACUUCUGGCAAUCUUUUACAACACCAUGUUGAUUCAUAUUGUUUGUUAUGCCACUACUUGUGUGUACAAUUCAUGUUUGUUACACCACAUCAAGCCUGCACUGACUAUUGGGAGAGUCAUCACUAAUAGCCUGUGCGUUUUUGCUGUGUGCUUGUGUAAUACCUCCCAUACUGAUGGGUUUGUGCAUACCUGUUUCUAAUAAGACCCUUCAGCCCAGAAAACCACUAGCAACCCCCACUUCCCUUUGGUGCUUUUCAUCUCCCUUCCUGAGAUGUCAGGGAGGGCAUGAUCAUCUCCUUUUUAGGGCUUUCCCCUCCCUUCCUGAGAAGUUGGGGAAAAGGAGGGGAACAUGAUCACCUCUUUGUGUUCUAAAACAAAAGAAAGCGGGAGAUGUAAGGGGCUGAAAAUGAGCAGAUGCACUUGGACAGCUAAGCAUUUAAGGCUAAAUAUUUAUUGGACAAUACUCUAUUAGCAUGUGCUUGGAAAAUGGCCCAUCCCACUAUCCUGUGCUGGCUUUAUCUGUUGGUGUAUACAGAGAAUUGUAAGUGGAGAUUAGAGAGUGGAGUAAGACAAGGGAAAGUCACUUUUGGCUGCCAAGAGAGGAAGAAGAAAGAUGUGGAGAUUCCUGUCUCUCUCACUUCGACAAAGAAUAAAGACCAAGGGCUUUUGCUUAUCCUGAGUCCAGCUGAUUUUAAAGUAUCCAGGGUCUUCACAUUUAGGGGUUCUGAUUCCUCAGGAUAAUAACAAGAUCCUAGUGUUUCUCUUCUUCUACUCCCACUAGUUGAUAGGUUUCUCAGAGAACUAGCAGAGAUCCAAUUCAAGACACAAACCAUAGAAAUAUCAUCUCAACUUCAGGUCUCCUAGACCGAAACUUGAAACAAAAAUCAUCCUUCAGUAAACUUCAUUAUGAUUAUAAAUUCAA